rnacentral:rRNA from 1 species
UUUAAUUGAAGAGUUUGAUCAUGGCUCAGAUUGAACGCUGGCGGCAGGCCUAACACAUGCAAGUCGAGCGGUAACAGAUUGAUAGCUUGCUAUCAAUGCUGACGAGCGGCGGACGGGUGAG